rnacentral:rRNA from 1 species
UACGUAGGGUGCGAGCGUUGUCCGGAAUUAUUGGGCGUAAAGAGCUCGUAGGCGGUUUGUCGCGUCGCCUGUGAAAACUGGGGGCUUAACUCUCAGCUUGCAGUUGAUACGGGCAGACUUGAGUUCGGUAGGGGAGACUGGAAUUCCUGGUGUAGCGGUGAAAUGCGCAGAUAUCAGGAGGAACACCGAUGGCGAAGGCAGGUCUCUGGGCCACUACUGACGCUGAGAAGCGAAAGCAUGGGGAGCGAACAGG